CGGCGAUGGUUCAUCUCAAAUUUCUGCCUAUCAACUUUCGAUGGUCAGGAUCAGUGGCCUCACCUGGUUUCAACGGGUAACGGGGAAUUAGGGUUCUAUCUCCGGAGAGGGAGCCUCGAGAAACGGUACCACAUCCAAGGAAGGCAGCAGGCGCGCAAAUUACCCAAUCCCGACACGGGGAGGUCAGUGACAAUAAAUACUGAUCACAGGGGCUCUUUUGGGUCUUGUCAAUUUGGAAUCGAGUCACAAUUUAAAUCCCCUUUAACGAGGGAACAAUUGGAGGGCAAGUCUCGGUGCCAGCUAGCCGCGGUAAUUUCCAGCUCCAAUAGGCGUAUAUCUAAAGGUUGUUGCCAGUUUUCAAAAAGGCUUCGGUAAGGUUUGAAACCUUUGGGGGCCUUCGGCUUGGGCCGGGGUCCCCGGCCUUCCAACCGGUGGUUGGCCACCUUGGAGUUCACCGGGGCCCAGGGGGGCCCCUUUUUCCCUUUCCUUGGGAGGGAGCCCCGCAUUUGCCCCCUUUCAACUUGGGGAGUUGGUC
rnacentral:rRNA from 1 species